rnacentral:rRNA from 1 species
AGUGAACGCUGGCGGUAGGCCUAACACAUGCAAGUCGAACGGCAGCACAGUAAGAGCUUGCUCUUACGGGUGGCGAGUGGCGGACGGGUGAGGAAUACAUCGGAAUCUACUUUUUCGUGGGGGAUAACGUAGGGAAACUUACGCUAAUACCGCAUACGACCUACGGUUGAAAGCAGGGGAUCUUCGGACCUUGCGCGUUUGAAUGAGCCGAUGUCGGAUUAGCUAGUUGGCGGGGUAAAGGCCCACCAAGGCGACGAUCCGUAGCUGGUCUGAGAGGAUGAUCAGCCACACUGGAACUGAGACACGGUCCAGACUACUACGGGAGGCAGCAGUGGGAAAUAUUGGACAAUGGGCGAAAGCCUGAUCCAGCCAUACCGCGUGGGUGAAGAAGGCCUUCGGGUUGUAAAGCCCUUUUGUUGGGAAAGAAAAGCAGCAGGUUAAUACCCCGCUGUUCCGACGGUAACCAAAGAAUAAGCACCGGCUAACUUCGUG